rnacentral:rRNA from 1 species
GAUGAACGCUGGCGGCGUGCCUAAUACAUGCCAGUCGAGCGAACAGAUAAGGAGCUUGCUCCUUUGACGUUAGCGGCGGACGGGUGAGUAACACGUGGGUAACCUACCUAUAAGACUGGGAUAACUCCGGGAAACCGGGGCUAAUGCCGGAUAACAUUUAGAACCGCAUGGUUCUAAAGUGAAAGAUGGUUUUGCUGUCACUUAUAGAUGGACCCGCGCCGUAUUAGCUAGUUGGUAAGGUAACGGCUUACCAAGGCAACGAUGCGUAGCCGACCUGAGAGGGUGAUCGGCCACACUGGAACUGAGACACGGUCCAGACUCCUACGGGAGGCAGCAGUAGGGAAUCUUCCGCAAUGGGCGAAAGCCUGACGGAGCAACGCCGCGUGAGUGAUGAAGGUCUUCGGAUCGUAAAACUCUGUUAUUAGGGAAGAACAAAUGUGUAAGUAACUGUGCACGUCUUGACGGUACCUAAUCAGAAAGCCACGGCUAACUACGUG